AGGACUGCUCCCCCUCCUGCUCUUGACUGGGCUCCAUAAGAACUGCCAAAAGGCCAGGCAGUAUUUGCUACUCUUCUGGGGUUCACUUCUGAAAGGUGCGACCCUGCAACCUAGAGCACAGGGAAGUUAGGACAGCAGAGGAGCCGGGCCGAGCCGACGCUGGCUUAGAACUCUUUCUGAUACUCCCUGUUCCCGCCAGCUCGUUAGCCCAGCCUGCCAAUCAGUUUUGCAUCAAUAAACUUUAUGUUCUGAGGUUGGCCAGAUGAAUGAGAGGAGAGCAGCUAAAGACUGAUCUCUGACCUUGGCACAUAAACAGCCUCCAGAUUGGACUUGACAGUUAAUAAAGGAAAGGCCCUGCAAUUCUCUGAUGCCUUUUUGCCUUAAUUAGAUUGAGCAUUCAAAGGCUAUGGGGAAAUCUUCCAUUUGAAGAGAAAAACCUCACAAGACAGGAAGUCACUUCACUCAUUCAUUCUUUCAGACUGUCAAUCAUUCGGUCUACAGUCACUGGCAUUUGUCAAAUGCCCUAUUACCUGUGCUCAGCACUAUGCUAACUGCUUUUGAGUCGAGUGGCUGCAAGAAUUCCAGAAGUCCAUGCCGUGCUCUUCUGGAAGACUGCACAGCCAGGCAGUCAAGAGCACAAGCUUCAGUUUAACAUAUCUGAGCUCAAAUCCUGAUUCUGCCAUGUGACUUUUGGCAAGUUACUUAAACUCUCUGCCUUUAGUUUCCUCUUGGAGUAAAUAAUACCAACCUCCACAGGCUGUCAUCAAGGCCAAAUGAGACCAUCUGUGUAAAGUGGGCAGCACAGAGCCUGGUGCUUGGCAGAUGCCUGGUGGCCAUGAACAUGACAGUGCCUGCACCUGGCUGAACUGUCAGGCCGAGAAGCUUCCCUUCCUUCCCUCUCUCCCCUCCCCCAUUCCUGGCAUGCUGCCAGUCACUGGGGAGCUGGUGAUGACUCACAAUCCCUGCCCUCAGUGAUAUUAUAAAUCUAUUGUUGGCCGAGCACUGUGGCACAACGCUUGUAAUCCC
rnacentral:lncRNA from 10 species